GAUGAACGCUGGCGGCGUGCCUAAUACAUGCAAGUCGAGCGAACGGACGAGAAGCUUGCUUCUCUGAUGUUAGCGGCGGGCGGGUGAGUAACACGUGGAUAACCUACCUAUAAGACUGGGAUAACUUCGGGAAACCGGAGCUAAUACCGGAUAAUAUUUUGAACCGCAUGGUUCAAAAGUGAAAGACGGUCUUGCUGUCACUUAUAGAUGGAUCCGCGCUGCAUUAGCUAGUUGGUAAGGUAACGGCUUACCAAGGCAACGAUGCAUAGCCGACCUGAGAGGGUGAUCGGCCACACUGGAACUGAGACACGGUCCAGACUCCUACGGGGGGCAGCAGUAGGGAAUCUUCCGCAAUGGGCGAAAGCCUGACGGAGCAACGCCGCGUGAGUGAUGAAGGUCUUCGGAUCGUAAAACUCUGUUAUUAGGGAAGAACAUAUGUGUAAGUAACUGUGCACAUCUUGACGGUACCUAAUCAGAAAGCCACGGCUAACUACGUG
rnacentral:rRNA from 1 species